AUGGAUGAGGAAUAUGAUGUGACCGUGCUGGGGACUGGCCUCACCGAAUGCAUCCUGUCUGGCAUCAUGUCUGUGAAUGGGAAGAAGGUGCUGCACAUGGACCAAAACCCCUACUAUGUUGGGGAGAGCUCUUCCAUCACACCCUUGGAGGAGUUGUACAAGCGUUUUCAGUUCGUGGAGGGGCCUCCUGAAUCCAUGGGCCGGGGCCGAGACUGGAAUGUUGACCUUAUCCCCAAGUUCCUGAUGGCCAAUGGGCAGCUGGUGAAGAUGCUUCUGUACACGGAAGUGAUCGCUAUUUGGACUUUAAAGUGGUUGAAGGCAGCUUUGUCUAUAAGGGAGGCAAGAUCUACAAAGUGCCAUCCACUGAGACUGAGGCUUUGGCAUCCAAUCUGAUGGGCAUGUUUGAGAAACGGCGUUUCCGCAAGUUCCUCGUGUUUGUGGCGAACUUUGACGAGAAUGACCCUAAGACCUUCGAAGGGGUUGACCCCCAGAUUACCAGCAUGCGUGAUGUCUAC